GUAUAUCACCGCUCCAUUGUUUGUGCUCAUCAGUACAUCAAUCUUCUAAUGGCUGCAUUGUUUAGUGGCUGACCUGAGAUGAAGGCAUGGCCAAGAAAAAAAAACCUGCUUAUAUAAUUUCUAAAAAAAGAGCUUCAUGUCCCAGGUUAUACAGAACUGAUCUUUUUAUCUGUCGGUUCCACGCUCUCUAUUUGAGAGCUGUCAAAAGCAAAGUGGAGCCCAGAGGGUCAUUCAGAACUCCAUUACUGCAGAUGGACUUGGGGAAAGAUUAAGAACAAUGGGAUCACCAAAGCUUUUUCUGCUUGCAAGCACUAUAAGACAAACAUCAUCCAUCAACAAUAAGUCUCUUUAUCAAUCUGCGGUCGCCACAACGGAAUGAGCUGACCACUUAUCCAGCACAUGUUUUACGCAGCGAAUGCCCUUCCAGCUGCAACCCAUCUCUGGGAAAAAUCCAUACACACUCAUACACUACGGACAAUUUAGCCUACCCAAUUCACCUGUACCGCAUGUCUUUGGGGGAAACAGGAGCACCCAGAGGAAGCCCACGCAAACGCAGGGAGAACAUGCAAACUCCACACAGAAACGCCAACUGACCCAGCCAAGGCUCGAACCAGCGACCUGCUUGCUGUGAGGCAACAGCACUACCUACUGCAUCACUGCGUCGCCCAGGAUGCAAAGUAUCGUUGGAUAUUACCAAAAAUAUACCUGUGCAACAACGUGAUUUUGUACCCCUGGAUCAUUUCUAUGAUAAGAUUCACCUUCUGUGUGCCUAUAAAUGUAAAGUCUAUUCCUCUUGUGCUUCUGCUACUAUCAAAGACGUAAAAAUGUGAAAAGACAAUGUAAAACACUGGUGAUGGACUGUAUUAAAUGGCAGUGCUGUAGGCAUACCUGAGCGGUCCAGAAGAUGUAAUUGUGCUGCUCUGUCAGGCUAGCCCCCGUGGCGAGUCUCAAGAGGACACCGACUCACCAUAAUGAUGACUGGGAGAACAUUCACCAUCAUGUUACUCCUGCUGCCCUCCUUUCUUCUUCUGUCCCUCAUGACUUAGUGGAGAUCAUCCUAGGUCAUGUACAAAUGUCCAAUCUCUCAUUUCGCCCAAUUCCUGCUGUGUUUUUUCCCCUUAAAGAAAAAGACUAAAAACACAGAAAGGUUGAGAGUACGAUUGGAAGUGGGCAAACGCUCAAGUCCAUAUUUUUAACAGUGAAUCGCAUAAUAAAAAAUAUAUCCACUGUAAAUAUUCUUCGUAUUUUGUUGUGUUUUCUGUUUAUUUAUGGUUGUGAAUUGCAUUAUGGGACUUUGAUCCCUGCUUAGUCGACUUUCAAUGUUGAAAAUUCAAUGAUACAGUUUAACAAUUAUACAGUAUAACAAAGUGACUUUUAUUGACAUUUUAGUAGUUUGAAAUAAUAUAAUGUAUAAGAAAUAAUACAUAGAAAAAUAAAUCUGUAAAAUAACAGAACAUGUACUGGCAGUUUAUUACAAGAGCUAUUGUUGAACUAUUAAAUGUUAAUAUAAGUCACUCUUCUGAAGUUUUCAAGUUUAAAAUUGUUGGAGGAAAGAUCAAGGUCCCAUAAUGCAAUUCACAACCAUAAAUAAACAGAAAAAACAACAA